CGCUAGCGGGAGGCCUAACACAUGCAAGUCGAACGGGAUUGGUAGCGAAUACCAUGAGAGUGGCGCACGGGUGAGUAACGCGUAUGCAACCUACCUGGUAACAGAGGGAUAGCCCAUAGAAAUGUGGAUUAAUACCUCGAUAGUCCUGAGAAGUCGCAUGGCUUUUCAGGUAAAACUCCGGUGGUUACAGAUGGGCAUGCGUGACAUUAGCGUAGUUGGUAAGGUAACGGCUUACCAAGGCAACGAUGUCUAGGGGUUCUGAGAGGAUGAUCCCCCACACUGGUACUGAGACACGGACCAGACUCCUACGGGAGGCAGCAGUGAGGAAUAUUGGUCAAUGGGCGCAAGCCUGAACCAGCCAUCCCGCGUGCAAGGAUGACGGCCCUAUGGGUUGUAAACUGCUUUUGUACAGGAAGAAAAAUCCCUACGUGUAGGGACCUGCCGGUACUGUACGAAUAAGCAUCGGCUAACUCCGUGCCAGCAGCUGC
rnacentral:rRNA from 1 species